UGUUGAAAAACCUAAAUUUCCCUCUCAAAACACACACUUUUCCCGCUCUCGUGCUCCCAACGGCGACAAUGGCGGAUUCCGACGGUAAAGCUGCAAAAGACCUAAUUCGCGACGUCGGCAAACAACUCUCUGCGAAGAAGGAAUGUCCUCACAAAGACCUCCUUGUUAAGCUACUCCGUCAAGCGGCAAGUGCACUGCCAAAGUUAAAAACACAAUCAGAUUUGCUAAAGCCUAAUAUAAAGCCCUUGAGCGAUUCUAUAUUGAAGCAUGGCUUGCUGAAGCAAAAGGACAAAGAUGUGCGACUUUUGGUUUCCAUAUGUGUUUGUGAAAUACUUAGGAUCCUUGCUCCAAAUCCUGGCUUUAGUGAUGCAGAUCUCAGGAGCAUAUAUCAACUCUUAUUGGGUAUGUUCGGGGAGCUCGUUGACACCAAAAGUCCAUAUUACUCAAGGAGGGUAGAGCUAUUGGAGACUGUUUCAAAAUACAAUUUCUGUGUGUUAAUGUUAGAUAUAGGAUGUGAAGAUUUAGUUCUGAAGAUGUUCAAUAUAUUUUUUGGUGUGAUAAGGAAAGAGCAUUCUUCAAAUGUAUUUGGUGCAAUGUCAUCGAUAAUGUCAGCUAUUCUAAAGGAGAAAGUUUCUCAAGCACUUAUGGAAGUAAUUUUGCGUAAUCUUUUGAAGGACAAAAAGGACGCAUCUCCAGCUUCUUUUCAGCUAGCUGUUUCUGUUAUUGAUGAUUGCAGUCAGACUCUUGAACCGUUUGUUUGUCGUUUUCUCAACCGUUGUAUUUUGGAUCGAGACAAUGUUAAUAGUGAGCUCAAAGAAUCGUAUCAUGAUAUCAUAUACGAAAUCAUUCAGUGUGCUCCACAAAUGCUUGUUGCUGUAGUAGAAAACUUAUCUCAGGAACUACUGACUGAACAGGUUGAUGUUCGGAUAACGGCUAUCAAGUUUGUUGGAAAACUUUUUUCAAUUCCCGGAUGUCACAUUGCGCAAGAGUACCACCAUCUAUUCGCAGAGUUUAUAAAUAGAUUCGCUGAUAAGUCUAGUGCAGUUAGACUUAAUGCUGUAUUAUGUGCUAAAUCUUUUUACUUAUUUAAUCCACCAGGCGACAAUUCCACUACAGUUCUGUCUGCCCUUGAAGGUCGCCUUUUAGACUUCGACGAUAAAGUGAGAACACAAGCAGUUGCAGUGGUGUGUGAUCUUGCAAAGUCGAAUCUCAGACCUGUACCACCUGAAAUGAUAACUCAAGCUGCUAAAAGAUUACGUGAUAAAAAGACAUCUGUUAGAAAGAAAGCGUUGCAAAUGCUACUAGACGUCUAUCAUGAUUAUUGUGUUAAAUGUUCUGAAGGCAUCAUCAAAUUAAGUGUUGACUUUGAACAAAUACCUUGUGGUAUUCUGUUACUUUGCUAUGACAAGGAUGUGGAGUUUGGCGUUCAGAACAUAGAACAUGUGCUUGAAGAGGAUUUGUUUCCCGUUUCACUUUCAGUUGAGGAGAGGAUUAGGCACUGGAUAUUUUUGUUUUCACAUUCGGUUUCCGCUUACAAGGAUGGCAUGUUUACCGCUGCUCAUGAGAAGGCACUGACUGCUGUUUUGUGUCAGAAAAAAAGGUUGCAACUUGAGAUGCAGAGUUACCUAGAUCUCCGGACAAAAGAAAAGCAGAAUGUCUCUGAAAGAGGCGAAGAAAAAAUCAAAAAGUUGUUUGCAAAAAUGUCAACAUGCUUCCCUGUAAAAGUCAAAGCAGAAGAGUGCUUUAAUAAGUUACAUUUGGUGAAAGAUGUUGGCCUUUUUAACACCUUCAAAGAGAUUUUGAAUGAACCGGAGUUUGGAAGUUCACAGAUCAUCAGAGAUAAUUUUGUCAAGAAGAUCAAGGACCUGCACACAGAUUUUGAAUUUCUACAAUUACUCGCGACAAAAUGUUCAUUUAAUUUAUUCAGUUCUGAUCACGUGAGGUGUAUACUUGAUAAUCUCUCCGAAAACAAAUUUGGACAGGCCAAUUUAAAGAAGGCUUGUGUGGCACUUCUUAUGAUUAUUGUUAAUGCUUUCCCGCUACUUCUGAGAGGUUCUGAAGAGCCAUUCUGCACACUGUUGUUAGAAGAGAAAUCACCAUUCUGUAAUGAGCUGCUUCAAAUGUUGGUAAAAGCUGGACCUCAUAUUUCUGUUGACCUCAGUGUUAUCUACCCUUUCUUAGAGAGGAUCUGUCUGAACGGAACUCGUGCUCAGGCCAAGCUUGCAAUCUCCGCCAUCAGUGAAUUAAUUGUUACUUCUCAGCAGUUCACUUUCUCUUACCUGUGCAAGACACUCGUCGAUGCUCUUGAAAGUGGGCAGCAUACCCCUGCAGUUUUGCAAUCUUUGGGUUGCAUGGCUCAGCAUUCUGUAUCUGCGUUUGAAUCCCAUGCUGAAGAGAUCACACGUUAUAUAUUUGACAACAUCUUUUCCGGUCUAGAAUCUGACUCCAGUGCUUCUUGCAAAUUGAAGAUAUUUGGGCUUAAAACACUCGUCAAAAGCUUUUUGCCACAUCAGCGUACAGGUGUUACUCGUCAAAUUGAUGAAGUACUUGGCAUUGUAUCACAAAUGCUUCUAAGGGCUGAGAUUUCUAAAGGCACACUCUCCUGUAAAAAGGACAAAGAUCAUCUAAGAUUAGCCGCAGCUACAUCCGUUCUUCAGCUUUCCCAAUUAUGGGACUCACAUAUUCCCGCGGAUAUUUACCGUGAAACAGUCUUGAUGGCCAAGGACCAUUCUACUCUGGUACGGAAAUCGUUCAUCAAGAAAACAUUUAAGCUUUUAAAGAAUAACUUCCUUCAUUGUAAAUAUCUCUGUGCUUUUGCAUUGGCUGCUUCUGAUACGUUCGAUGGUUCACCAAAAGAUGAUUCGCUAAAUUAUAUGGCAGAAAUUAUAAAGAUCCGUCACUUAGAAGCUAAAGUGAAGCGUGAUGCAACAGAUAAUCCUGUAUGUUCAAUGAUAUUUUUAAUCCACAUUCUUGCCCAUGAUACCAAGUUUCCGUCACAAGAUCCCGAAAACGAAGAGAAUUCUGGUCCCUUUUUCAGCCCGCUUGUUUUUACUAUGGAUACACUACUCAAUCCGUCUUUUGUAGAUGGUGAUAUGAAUCGAAUCCAUACAGUUGUUUCUGAAUUGCAUAAUAUAUUUAAUGCUAUCAAGAUGGCCGAGGAUGCACUUGAUGUUGCGAAAACCUCUAGGCUGCAUGUUCUAGCUAACUUUGGAUCCAAGUAUCUUGUUACUAAAAAUAGCGGAAGGCCUGUGUCACACACUCCGACCAAUAUCUUACUGCCUGCAUUACUUUAUAAAAAAGGCAAUGCCAAACAAAGAGAACGUGCUAGAAGUACUAAGAGUUCGCGCAAAAGUUUAGACGAUAAUGCAUUCGAUGAUGGUCAAUUGCACAAAAGAAGCAAGACUCUGAAUGCACACAAAAAAAACUCGCAUGAAACUCAAAAGCAGACCGUAUCUGGUGACAAAGAGAAGCAGGACUUUAUUUCUCCAGAAUCAAUUACAUGCCUUGUGUAGCAGAAAAGCCUUCAUCUCAGGAGGAUUCUUCAAGUGGUGACUGGGCUUUGGGAUAAUUACUGCAUAAAGGAAAUACCUUGUAAUGGAAAUGGCAAGCUAGCUGUGUAUUUAGAAAGAUGUAUCAUGUUUUAACAUAUAGCUUAUAAGGAAAGAGACGUUACGACUUACAACUAAUGUUGACCGUAUACCCAUCUGGCUCGUGUCAGAGUUAAGAUUUAUGUAAUUAUGCUGUUUUUGAGUCAAUUUUUAAGGAUGAUAUUUUAUAUGUUAGAUGAGAUGUGGUUAAACGAGUUGGCUUGAGGUUAAUACGAGAUUAGUUUUUAACUUG